GGCCUAACACAUGCAAGUCGAGCGGUAGCACAGGGAGCUUGCUCUUGGGUGACGAGCGGCGGACGGGUGAGUAAUGUCUGGGAAACUGCCUGAUGGAGGGGGAUAACUACUGGAAACGGUAGCUAAUACCGCAUAACGUCUUCGGACCAAAGAGGGGGACCUUCGGGCCUCUUGCCAUCAGAUGUGCCCAGAUGGGAUUAGCUAGUAGGUGAGGUAAUGGCUCACCUAGGCGACGAUCCCUAGCUGGUCUGAGAGGAUGACCAGCCACACUGGAACUGAGACACGGUCCAGACUCCUACGGGAGGCAGCAGUGGGGAAUAUUGCACAAUGGGCGCAAGCCUGAUGCAGCCAUGCCGCGUGUAUGAAGAAGGCCUUCGGGUUGUAAAGUACUUUCAGCGAGGAGGAAGGCAUUGUGGUUAAUAACCACAGUGAUUGACGUUACUCGCAGAA
rnacentral:rRNA from 1 species